rnacentral:rRNA from 1 species
GACGAACGCUGGCGGCGUGCUUAACACAUGCAAGUCGAACGGAAAGGCCCUGCUUUUGUGGGGUGCUCGAGUGGCGAACGGGUGAGUAACACGUGAGUAACCUGCCCUUGACUUUGGGAUAACUUCAGGAAACUGGGGCUAAUACCGGAUAGGAGCUCCUGCUGCAUGGUGGGGGUUGGAAAGUUUCGGCGGUUGGGGAUGGACUCGCGGCUUAUCAGCUUGUUGGUGGGGUAGUGGCUUACCAAGGCUUUGACGGGUAGCCGGCCUGAGAGGGUGAACGGGCACAAUGGGACUGAGGUACGGACCAGGAUCCUACGGGAGGCAGGAGGGGGGAAUAAUGCACAAAGGGGGGAAGGCUGAUGCAGGAACGCCGGGUUCGGGAUGAAGGCCUUUGGGGUGUAAACCGCUUUCGCCUGUGAAGAAGGGGGAGUGAAGGUAAAGGGUAAAGAAGCAACGGCUAAAUAAGUG